GACGAACGCUGGCGGCGUGCCUAACACAUGCAAGUCGAGCGAAGAACUUCGGUUCUUAGCGGCGGACGGGUGAGUAACACGUGGGUAACCUGCCUCAAAGAGGGGGAUAGCCUCCCGAAAGGGAGAUUAAUACCGCAUAAUAUCGGGAUCUCGCAUGAGAACUUGAUUAAAGGAGCAAUCCGCUUUGAGAUGGACCCGCGGCGCAUUAGCUAGUUGGUAAGGUAAUGGCUUACCAAGGCGACGAUGCGUAGCCGACCUGAGAGGGUGACCGGCCACACUGGGACUGAGACACGGCCCAGACUCCUACGGGAGGCAGCAGUGGGGAAUAUUGGGCAAUGGAGGAAACUCUGACCCAGCGACGCCGCGUGAGGGAUGAAGGCCUUCGGGUUGUAAACCUCUUUCAGCAGGGAAUAAGCGAAAGUGAAGGUACCUGCAGAAGAAGCACCGGCUAACUAUGUGCCAGCCGCCGCCGUAAGAC
rnacentral:rRNA from 1 species